rnacentral:misc_RNA from 1 species
GAUGAAGAACGUAGCGAAAUGCGAUAAGUAAUGUGAAUUGCAGAAUUCAGUGAAUCAUCGAAUCUUUGAACGCACCUUGCGCCCCUUGGUUAUUCCAAAGGGCAUGCCUGUUUGAGUAUGAUGAACACCUCAACUCUUGUGGUUUCCCACAAUGAGCUUGGACUGUGGAGGUUUUGUUGGCCCUGUGGUCAGCUCCUCUCAAAUGGAUCAGCUUACCGGUGUUUGGUGGCAUUACGGGUGUGAUAACUAUCUACGCUCGUGGUCGUCUCCAAAUAACCUCCAGUGAUGGAGGUUCGCUGGAGCUUAUAAAUGUCUCUCCCCAGUGAAGACAGCCUUUGAACGUUCGAUCUCAAAUCAGGUAGGACUACCCGCUGAACUUAAGCAUAUCAAUAAGCGGAGGA